rnacentral:rRNA from 1 species
GGCUUAGAGUUUGAUCAUGGCUCAGGAUGAACGCUGGCGGCGUGCUUAACACAUGCAAGUCGAGCGAAGCACUUACUUUGGAUUUCUUCGGAAUGACGAGGUAUUUGACUGAGCGGCGGACGGGUGAGUAACGCGUGGGCGACCUGCCUCACACAGGGGGAUAACAGUUAGAAAUGACUGCUAAUACCGCAUAAGACCACAGCACCGCAUGGUGCAGGGGUAAAAACUCCGGUGGUGUGAGAUGGGCCCGCGUCUGAUUAGGUAGUUGGUGCGGUAACGGCGCACCAAGCCGACGAUCAGUAGCCGACCUGAGAGGGCGACCGGCCACAUUGGGACUGAGACACGGCCCAAACUCCUACGGGAGGCAGCAGUGGGGAAUAUUGCACAAUGGGGGAAACCCUGAUGCAGCGACGCCGCGUGAAGGAUGAAGUAUUUCGGUAUGUAAACUUCUAUCAGCAGGGAAGAAAAUGACGGUACCUGACUAAGAAGCCCCGGCUAACUACGUGCCAGCAGCCGCGGUAAUACGUAGGGGGCAAGCGUUAUCCGGAUUUACUGGGUGUAAAGGGAGCGUAGACGGCUGUGCAAGUCUGGAGUGAAAACCCGGGGCUCAACCCCGGGAUUGCUUUGGAAACUGUGUAGCUGGAGUACCGGAGAGGCAAGUG